rnacentral:rRNA from 2 species
UGCAAGUCGAGCGGACGGAUGGGAGCUUGCUCCCUGAAGUCAGCGGCGGACGGGUGAGUAACACGUGGGCAACCUGCCUGUAAGACUGGGAUAACUCCGGGAAACCGGGGCUAAUACCGGAUAACUCUUUUCCUCACAUGAGGAAAAGCUGAAAGAUGGUUUCGGCUAUCACUUACAGAUGGGCCCGCGGCGCAUUAGCUAGUUGGUGAGGUAACGGCUCACCAAGGCCACGAUGCGUAGCCGACCUGAGAGGGUGAUCGGCCACACUGGGACUGAGACACGGCCCAGACUCCUACGGGAGGCAGCAGUAGGGAAUCUUCCGCAAUGGACGAAAGUCUGACGGAGCAACGCCGCGUGAGUGAUGAAGGUUUUCGGAUCGUAAAACUCUGUUGUCAGGGAAGAACAAGUACCGGAGUAACUGCCGGUACCUUGACGGUACCUGACCAGAAAGCCACGGCUAACUACGUGCCAGCAGCCGCGGUAAUACGUAGGUGGCAAGCGUUGUCCGGAAUUAUUGGGCGUAAAGCGCGCGCAGGCGGUUCCUUAAGUCUGAUGUGAAAGCCCCCGGCUCAACCGGGGAGGGUCAUUGGAAACUGGGGAACUUGAGUGCAGAAGAGAAGAGUGGAAUUCCACGUGUAGCGGUGAAAUGCGUAGAGAUGUGGAGGAACACCAGUGGCGAAGGCGACUCUUUGGUCUGUAACUGACGCUGAGGCGCGAA